GUGGGGAAUAUUGGGCAAUGGGGGAAACCCUGACCCAGCGACGCCGCGUGGGUGAAGAAGGCCUUCGGGUUGUAAAGCCCUGUCAUGGGGGAAGAUAGUGACGGUACCCCAAGAGGAAGCCCCGGCUAACUACGUGCCAGCAGCCGCGGUAACACGUAGGGGGCGAGCGUUGUCCGGAAUUACUGGGCGUAAAGGGCGCGUAGGCGGUUAGUCGUGUCAGGUGUGAAAGGCCAGGGCUCAACCCUGGACUUGCACUUGAAACUGGCUAACUUGAGGGCAGGAGAGGCAGGUGGAAUUCCUGGUGUAGCGGUGAAAUGCGUAGAUAUCAGGAGGAACACCGGUGGCGAAGGCGACCUGCUGGACUGGCCCUGACGCUGAGGCGCGAAAGCGUGGGGAGCGAACAGGAUUAGAAACCCUAGUAGUCC
rnacentral:rRNA from 1 species